rnacentral:rRNA from 1 species
UAGGGAAUCUUCCGCAAUGGGCGAAAGCCUGACGGAGCAACGCCGCGUGAGUGAUGAAGGUCUUCGGAUCGUAAAACUCUGUUAUUAGGGAAGAACAAAUGUGUAAGUAACUAUGCACGCCUUGACGGUACCUAAUCAGAAAGCCACGGCUAACUACGUGCCAGCAGCCGCGGUAAUACGUAGGUGGCAAGCGUUAUCCGGAAUUAUUGGGCGUAAAGCGCGCGUAGGCGGUUUUUUAAGGCUGAUGUGAAAGGCCACGGCUCAACCGUGGAGGGUCAUUGGAAACUGGAAAACUUGAGUGCAGAAGAGGAAAGUGGAAUUCCAUGUGUAGCGGUGAAAUGCGCAGAGAUAUGGAGGAACACCAGUGGCGAAGGCGACUUUCUGGUCUGUAACUGACGCUGAUGUGCGAAAGCGUGGGGAUCAAACAGG